rnacentral:lncRNA from 1 species
CUCAAUUUUAAUUGCAAUGAUUGUUGUCAUUUGGAAAAUGUAUUUCUACAUUUCAUCAGAAGUUGCUCUUACACCAAUAAGCAGAAAUCAAUAGAAUAUCGACUCGUAUGCAUGCAUUCUGUUUUUUUUUAUUUGGGCUAGUUACAUUUUCGGCCUACCAAAAUCUGAAGAGUACCUGCCCGAAGGGCUACCAGGGAUUUUGAAAUUUUGCGAGCCCUGCUAUCGCAAACAAUACAGUCGAGAUCCAUGACAGAGCACAGACUGGCUGAAUGACGCUUUCAUUUAAGCAGAAUACCUCAAAUGGAGAUCGCUGAACUCCAGCUUACUUCUACAGUGCUAUAUGUCGUGUUUUCAGAUCACGGUGUCUCCGCAGACAGAGCGCGUAUGAAUGGUUGCCAGAUUGCAUAGAGCAAAAAGCCGGGCAGAGUAAUGUGUACGUUUAACAGAAAAGGUCUGAUUGGGGGAUUCGCUCUCGACAUCUGGCAACCGCAAACAUGAACGCUCGCAUAAUAGAGGCUUGUACAGCAGUCUGAAAAGUUUUGGCUCCACUUUUUUCAACAAAAAUAAGUGUUUUGGUAAAGUUUUUGUUCUCAUCUUUUUUUCGUCAACAAUAUUGCAUGUUCAUUUAGUCUCAGCUAUAGUUUCAUGACCUUAUUAUCGUCUCGAUUAAAACUAGUGUAAUAUAUAGUAUAGAUUCUAACUUUUUUGCUUUUUUUUCGCAGGUUUACACAGAAUCUUUCAGUAUUUAGAAGAGAAGUCAAUGACUCCAUGAAGAAUUCCACAUACGGGGUAAACAGCAACGAUAUGAUGAGCUGACAUUCCAUAGAGCACCAGGCCCUGCCCACGUGGCCCAGCCCCGGCCCGUACUCCCACCUGCCCCUGGCCCGGCUGCCGGGGGACCACCGCUGCGCAAGCCUGCACCUCCCGCUCCCCAGUCCCUAAAAAUACCCAAUUACCUCUCUCCCUUCACACCUCCUCCCCCCACCCCUUUUUAUAUAUAUAAAUAUAUAUAUAUAUAUAUAUACAUAUAAAUAUAUAAAUAUUUUAAAGCCAG